GGGCGUGUAGCUCAGUUGGUUAGAGCGUCUCUCUUACACAGAGAAGGCCCUCCGUUCGAAUCGGAGCACGCCCA
rnacentral:tRNA from 1 species